rnacentral:rRNA from 1 species
CAGCAGCCGCGGUAACACAGAGGGUGCGAGCGUUAAUCGGAUUUACUGGGCGUAAAGCGUGCGUAGGCGGCUUUUUAAGUCGGAUGUGAAAUCCCUGAGCUUAACUUAGGAAUUGCAUUCGAUACUGGGAAGCUAGAGUAUGGGAGAGGAUGGUAGAAUUCCAGGUGUAGCGGUGAAAUGCGUAGAGAUCUGGAGGAAUACCGAUGGCGAAGGCAGCCAUCUGGCCUAAUACUGACGCUGAGGUACGAAAGCAUGGGGAGCAAACAGGAUUAGAUACCCCGGUAGUCCCUGUCUCUUAUAC